GCGGGGCCGCCAGGUGACAGCUAAUGGCGGCGGCCGCCUGAGGCAGGCAGGCGGGCGGGCGGUAGAGCGGGCGGCAGGAGGCAAGCAGCGAAACCUUCCCGGCCGCCGCUCCCGUCCCGACGGCGGCUUCCCCAAGGCGGCAGGACUCGGCGCGCCAUGGACAGGCCGGCGGCGGCGGCGGCGGGCUGCGAGGGCGGCGGGGGCCCGAACCCGGGGCCGGCGGGCGGCAGGAGGCCUCCUCGGGCCGCGGGGGGCGCCACCGCCGGCUCCCGGCAGCCCAGCGUGGAGACCCUGGACAGUCCCACAGGAUCACAUGUUGAAUGGUGUAAACAGCUUAUAGCUGCUACAAUUUCUAGUCAGAUUUCAGGUUCAGUGACAUCAGAAAAUGUGUCCAGAGAUUACAAGGUUUUCAGGAGGCCUGAUAUAAGGAACAUUCAUAAAGCAAGACAAAGAUUGGAGAUUCAGGAAGAACACAAUGGCUACCCUUCUGAAGCUGAAGCUGAUCAGGCUCUAAGGGAUGGAAAUAAGCUGGCACAGAUGGAAGAGGCUCCACUUUUCCCAGGAGAAUCAAUUAAAGCCAUUGUGAAAGAUGUCAUGUAUAUCUGCCCAUUUAUGGGAGCAGUGAGUGGAACCCUGACAGUGACGGACUUUAAGCUGUACUUCAAAAAUGUCGAGAGGGACCCGCAUUUUAUCCUUGAUGUUCCCCUUGGAGUGAUCAGCAGAGUUGAGAAGAUUGGAGCACAGAGCCAUGGAGACAAUUCCUGUGGUAUAGAGAUAGUGUGCAAGGAUAUGAGGAACUUGCGGCUUGCUUAUAAACAGGAAGAACAGAGUAAACUAGGGAUAUUUGAAAACCUCAACAAACAUGCAUUUCCUCUUUCUAACGGACAGGCACUAUUUGCAUUCAGCUAUAAAGAAAAAUUUCCAAUUAAUGGCUGGAAAGUUUAUGAUCCAGUAUCUGAAUAUAAGAGACAGGGCUUGCCAAAUGAGAGUUGGAAAAUAUCCAAAAUAAACAGUAAUUAUGAGUUCUGUGACACCUACCCUGCCAUCAUUGUUGUGCCAACUAGUGUAAAAGAUGAUGACCUUUCAAAAGUGGCAGCUUUUCGAGCAAAAGGCAGAGUCCCUGUGUUGUCAUGGAUUCAUCCGGAAAGUCAAGCAACGAUUACCCGUUGCAGCCAGCCACUUGUGGGUCCCAGUGAUAAGCGCUGCAAAGAGGAUGAAAAAUACUUGCAAACAAUAAUGGAUGCUAACGCACAGUCACACAAGCUUAUCAUCUUUGAUGCUCGACAGAACAGUGUCGCUGAUACCAACAAGACAAAGGGUGGAGGAUAUGAGAGUGAAAGUGCUUACCCAAAUGCAGAACUUGUGUUCUUGGAGAUCCACAACAUUCAUGUCAUGCGAGAGUCACUACGCAAAUUAAAAGAGAUUGUGUACCCUUCGAUCGAUGAGGCGCGGUGGCUCUCCAAUGUGGAUGGGACGCAUUGGCUGGAAUAUAUAAGGAUGCUGCUUGCUGGGGCAGUAAGAAUUGCUGAUAAAAUAGAAUCUGGGAAAACAUCUGUGGUGGUGCAUUGCAGCGACGGUUGGGACCGAACAGCCCAGCUCACAUCUCUGGCUAUGCUAAUGUUGGACAGUUACUACAGGACCAUUAAAGGAUUUGAAACUCUCGUAGAAAAGGAGUGGAUAAGCUUUGGACACAGGUUUGCACUGCGAGUGGGCCAUGGUAAUGACAACCAUGCGGAUGCUGACCGAUCUCCCAUAUUUCUGCAGUUUGUUGAUUGUGUUUGGCAAAUGACAAGGCAGUUUCCUUCAGCAUUCGAGUUUAAUGAGCUAUUCUUGAUUACAAUUUUGGAUCACCUUUAUAGCUGUCUUUUUGGGACCUUUUUGUGCAACUGUGAACAGCAGCGAUUCAAAGAGGCAUGGGGGGCUGGGACCCAGCGAGCCCGUGGCUCUCUCAGGAGUAGAUGAGUGCUAGACCCUGGACCUCCUGACUCCGAGUUCAUGUAGUCUCCGCUGCACCAACUCCAAAACCGUGGGAUUCUGCUUUUCAUCCUCUGUGGUGUUGGCCAGAUCAUACUUGAAGGCCUUGGAAAUGGAGUCUGCUGAGUAGCCAAAAAGCCCACUUUAGGAUGUAUAUACAAAGACGAUAUCUUUAUGGUCGUAUAUCAAUAGCCAGCUAGACGAGUUUUCUAAUCCCUUCUUUGUGAAUUAUGAAAACCACGUGUUAUAUCCUGUUGCUAGUCUGAGUCAUUUGGAAUUGUGGGUAAACUAUUAUGUACGAUGGAAUCCACGGAUGAGACCUCAGAUGCCCAUUCACCAGAAUCUCAAGGAGCUGCUGGCCGUCAGGGCGGAGCUGCAGAAGCGUGUGGAGGGCCUACAGCGGGAGGUGGCCACGCGCGCCGUCUCAUCCUCAUCUGAGCGGGGCUCCUCGCCCUCCCACUCCGCCACCUCCGUCCACACCUCGGUCUGAUGGGCGAGGCCAGCCUGCUGCUCCACUGUCUCCCGGUGGCUCAGAAAAGGGACCUGGCGAUCACUGUUAUGGCUGUAGCUUGUGAUCUCGUCUUUUAGGAUUAGGCCCAGGGACCAUUUGUGUGGCUAGGUGACAGCUCCCACUGUUGGCAAGUGCUUUUCGUUUUGUGAACAGCCCGUUACCCUCCUGUCAGCGGUUUCACAGGGGAGCCGUCUGUCACGUCCACCCUGUGAAGCAACUUCUGGCAUUCAGGCAGCUUGGGAGAAACUAAGUGAACGGAAUGCAGUACUGAGGUUCAAGAAAGCUGUACACCAUUUCUUUCCAACUUAAAUCCUUCAGUAACAACAAACACCACUCACUUCAAGAUGCAUUGCCAGCCCCGUGGCUUCCCUCAGCUCUUGGCCACAACUUGAAAACUGUUUUGAAUGAAGUACUUGGGGAGAAGACAGGCCACUGCCCUCUGUUCCACAGUUUUCUUCAUGCACGGGGUCCUCCUGUUAACAAUUACUGUUGUGUACAUAUAAGGUAUUUUUAGAGAAGAGAAACAAACAGGCCUUUAUUUUCCUAUGUCCUUUUUUACGUUUAGAAUAGUCACCCGAGGAGGGAUCAGCUCAACUGUACUGUGGGAGAAAUUCUUUUCCAACAAACCUCAUGCUCGUUUUUCUGUGGUGCAAUUUCAAGGGCAACGUGUUCUGUCCUCACCUCACUCUGGUACUCGCCUCUUGGGGCGGCUCAGCCCAUUCAUGGGGAUGGCACCAAGCGGCCAUGCUCAGUCUUCCAGCCCCGCUGAGGGUAAACCGAGGCCUCUGGCAGCUGUGCACAGGUGCUGGCCUCUGGCUCCUUCAAGGAGCACUGCCUGUCACUCGAUCCUGGGCUGUCUAGCCAUGUCUCCCACCCCCACUUUACCGCAGCCAGCUGCUGGGAUCAAAGCAAGUCUGUUCUUAUGUUAUUUGCCUGUAUGAAAUCAUUUCUCAUUUUAUCACAAUUCCUUCAACUCAGCUUACUCGCAUGGCUGCCUGUUCAUAUUUGAAAGCAGCCACCGUGCUGUGGCUUUGGUUUGGAAAAGCAUAGCACGCACUUCCCUUGGUUUUUCCUUCCCAGAGCCGACCGCAGCUGGUCAGCCCUCUCUUCCCGCUCCUGAACCUUUACUUACUGACUUCGAGCUCCGUGACUCCGUCGGUUCUCGCAGGAAUUCACUUACCAAUUGGUUCAAUCCACUUGAGCGCCAUAGCUCUGAGCUCCUCUGUGUGACAUGCCCCUCCCAUGUGCCGUGCCUGUUGCUGCAGCUGCCCCCCACCCCGCCACUGGCUGCAGGAAUUCAGCCUUUAGAGGCAGAGGCGGCUGCAGCGGCCCCUAAGGUCAAACCCCAGUGUGACUGCAUAGCAAUGUUAGCUGGUUGGUUUCAAACUACUGGAUUCCAGGCAAAGUCCUACAGAUUGACCUUAUUAUUUUUGAAAAUAUGUUAAGGGUUUUUCCGUAGAGAAUGGAUUUUUUUUUUAACUGGGAACCUCCUGAUUCUUAUGGAAAAUUAUCCUUCUAUAAGAUACCAGAGAGAUUUAUUCAAGGUAAUUUGAUAACCUAAAAUCAAUUCUCCAUUUUUUAUCACAUGUGGGAUUUGUUGCUAAAUCAGGUUCGACAUUAGCUUUUAUGUUCCUAACGUAUCUGAAUGCUUAUUUAUGAAUGGAUAUACUGGAUUAUUGAUAUACUGACUUUUUUUUUAAUGGGGACAUUUGCCAUUUUCUUCCCAGAAAUAUGUAAUCCCCUGGCUGACUAGGACUGUUAAACAUAGUGUGGACUGGAUGAUGCCUUCGACAAACCAGAGAAGCCAAGUUGGGGGGAGCUGGUGCCUGGAGUGGGCCCUGUGCACCUCACCUGGCGGAGGCUGGGGGGCUCUGUCAGCAGGACCCUAGAGACUCUCAUUCGAUUUUAAAGAAGCACAACGGGUCAUUUUCCUUUGUAUGUAUGUUCCUAGCGCAGAACUGUUUCUAAAACAACUUGAAGUAUAGUUUUGUUAUCUAAGCAAUUUUUGUUUUAAGUGUACUAGAAUGCGAAGCCGUUACGGUUCAGGUUUUUAAAAACUGGUACAGUAUUGUAUUAUUUGUCUCAUCUGUUGCACUGUAUUUCAAUCUGUAAUUAAAAUGAUCAUAUGUUU